UUGCUCAUCAAGUGACAAUGAACAUGAUUUGGGCACCUAGAGAUCAAUUCAUACAAAGAUAUACAAAUCAAGAGUUCUGUUAAUUUGAUCAGUUAUUACAGUCGGUCAUGAGCUGGGACAAUUCACUAGAGAUUAUAGUACAUUGACAUCAAGGGAUGAGUUGUCUUAGUCAAAUGAGAUUCUUUGUUGAACAUAAUACAUAAUAGUGGUGUUCUAUGAGAUGGAUGUAUUGAACAGAACCUAAAGAGAACUUUGAUAAAAAUACUUGAGCUCCUUAAUCUUCAUAGAAUAAUAUAUUCAAAUCAUAGGACUAACUGUUCUGAAACAUCAAUGAGGAUUAUAUUAUCUUAGCUACUUAUUGUCGGAUGUCUAUUAUCAAUCUAAACAUCAAGAUACCUCUUGUUGAGGCAUGAUAUUCCUUUACCAUGAAAUCCACGUGCGUAGUAGUUCUAUCGUGUGCUUUG
rnacentral:lncRNA from 1 species